AGUAAGCACUCAGCAUUUCAGCUUCUUGCCAUCUCUCCUAAUCAAGAGGAAUUUUCCUCUUGGAAUAAGGCAGAGAUAAUCAGGCUUCGGGGGUCUUGUGAGAAUGAUGCCUUAGGACACAGCUGCCUCAUUCCCCAUGCCAGCACAUUCUGGAAAGGGAUGGAAGAUUCUUUGUGGGCCUUGAGGUGGACUGUGACCUUGGAGUCAUGCUGAGUCACCGGCUGUAACCACUGAGACACAGUGGUGAAGAUGAUCUGCAGACUAUAUAGUACAAGAGGCUCCAGGAGUCUAACAGAGCUUAAUGUAGAUCAAGCUCAGAACAAGGCAAGCAAGGGCCAGGCCAAGCCAACAAUCAAGGUGUGCUCCGCUACUGAGCUAGCUUCCGUGCCUGAGAGGAAGGUCAAGGAAGGCUGCUGCUUCUUUGGUGCCAAGGAGACAGGAUCUGCAUGUGAAAGGGGCACUCUGUGAGCUGCUCUGAGCCAUGGAUCCAACCCCAGAGCUGCUCCUGAGCUCGGCGGGCAGCAUCCUGAAGCAGAGAGAGAGAACUUAGGAUGAAAUUCCUGGGCAGAAGCCACCAAGCCUCCUCGGUCCUCCUGCCCCUCUGCACACUCUUGCAAACAGCAUGGCUUCUCUGCCAGGAACACAAAGAGAGCCAUCACUGGGAGGCAGGGACCAUCUGAAUACAGCACUCAAACUCACGGCAGUUACUCCUGGACCACUGCCCAGAGCAAUCUGUGAAGCCUCAAUACCCUAGAAAUGCUUGGAUGCUAGCACCCAUCCACUUCUCUUUAAAUAACCUGAGUGACACUUCCUGAGUGCUAAGGGCCGGACACCAAUUCAGCUGCUAAGAUAAACCCUGACUGAAGUUCA
rnacentral:lncRNA from 1 species